UACGUAGGGUGCAAGCGUUGUCCGGAAUUAUUGGGCGUAAAGAGCUCGUAGGCGGUUUGUUGCGUCGGCUGUGAAAUCCCGAGGCUCAACCUCGGGUCUGCAGUCGAUACGAGCAAACUAGAGUGUUGCAGGGGAGACUGGAAUUCCUGGUGUAGCGGUGAAAUGCGCAGAUAUCUGGAGGAACACCGUUGGCGAAGGCGAGCUUCUGGGCUGUUCCUGACGCUGAUGCGCGAAAGCUGGGGGAGCAAACAGG
rnacentral:rRNA from 1 species